UUCAAAUUAUGUGAACUGGGAGUGGGGUUCACAUUCAAAGUAGAACACACAGCUUAUCCACAAAGGGACACUAGCUCUGUGCACAGGUUGUUAGGAGGGAACUGGUGGGGUGGUAUGAAUCACUUGGUCCCCAGUUGGUGGCGCUGUUUGGGGUGUCACGGAGCCUUUGAGAGGUGGAGCCCAGUCUUGCUGGAGGAAGUGUGUCACUGGGGGUGGGCUGUAAGUGUGUGUAGUCUCACCCCACUUACUACUGCCUGUGCUCAGCUUCUAGCCUAUGGACCUGUGAGCUGUCAGCCUCCUGCUCCUGAUGCCGGUGCCUGCCACCACCACCACAAGCAACUCUUAACCCUCUGGAACUGUAAACUCAAACAAGCUCUUCCUUGGUCUUGGCGUUCUAGCACAGCCACAGAAAAUUCAAGGUGCAGUCCAUCCAGAUGGGAGCUCAAGGCAGAAGGCGCUUGAAGCAACUGAUCACAUCACAGCCACAGCUGGGAAUACAGCAAUGAACUUGUGCAUGCCAGAUAGUGUUCAGCUCAAUUUCUCCACCCACACAGUUCAUGAUCCCUGGCAGAAACGGUGCCACCCACAGUGGGCAGGUCGUCCCACCUCAGUCCACACAAUCAAGACAAGCCUCACAGAUAUGUCCAGAUGCCCAUCUUUCGGGUAAUUCUAGGUCCUGUCCAGCUGACAGCUAGUACUGACCAUUAGAGACGGCAUCCCUUGAACCAUGGAUCAAAUAGAUUCCUUUCAGUUGCUUCUGUCGGGUAUUUGGCCACAAAACUGAGUCUCCAAGCACUCGGCAGUGAUUUGGUCUUAGGCUGGAAGUGUCUGCUGCCUCCUGCACACCAGAGGCCACACCUGUGGUUCCCGCUCUGAUGCUGCCACUACUGCCAUGGGAGCAUCAACCUACUUCCCAGUGGGGAUUCGUAUCGUGUGUGUGUGUGUUGAUAUUUCUAAUAAUCCUUUAAACUAUGCUUCUUCGUCUCUUCCAUGAGACUCUGCGGCCCCAGCAUCAGUACCUGUGAAACAACCCUCAAGCUAAUUGUGUAUUAUACAGGCCACAGACUGGGCACUCUCUCCAAAGCAGCCCACAAACUUCUCCCACUAACGCUGUCCUGCUAGACCGAAUUCCAUUGUGAUGCAAGGGGCACUCACCUAGAGCUGCUUCCCAGGUGAUUCAGCUCUGGAUUUUCUAGGUUCCUCGGGCUUCAUGAUGGAGUCUCCCUCUGGUCCAGGCUGAGAGCCCUGCUGGGUUCUCAUCUGUGCCCACUUCUUUGCCUGCUGCAUCCUGAGAAGUUUCACUCUAAGGAAAUGUGUUUCUGAUUAGUUCUGAUUUCCUGCCUCUGCAUCCCCACGUGGUCUCUGGUUCUGUCCAGCAUCCAAGGCUGAAAUCUCCAAAGGAGUCUGCUUGCUGUGUUGUCUAGAGAAAGCCACCCAACCUCUCUGCAGUUCUGACUGUGGCUUCCUCAGACAGAUCUAGAAGUGUUUCUUGACCCCACUUACCCCACUGGAGAGGUGGCAGACCCAUACGCAAGAGCAAGAACUCCCAGGCAUACAAUACUCUUCACUGUGAGGAUUGAGCCGAUGGCAACUGAAAGAAGAUGUGGAGGUGGGUGAGCGGGAACAUCUUUGCAAAGCAGGUUGUGGUGGUUUGAAAGAAAAUGGUCCCCAAAGCGUGUGGUACUAUUAAAAGGUGUGGCCUUGUUGGUGGAGGUGUGAUCUUGUUGGAGGAAGUGUGUCA